rnacentral:rRNA from 1 species
GACGAACGCUGGCGGCGUGCUUAACACAUGCAAGUCGAACGGAAAGGCCCUGCUUUUGUGGGGUGCUCGAGUGGCGAACGGGUGAGUAACACGUGAGUAACCUGCCCUUGACUUUGGGAUAACUUCAGGAAACUGGGGCUAAUACCGGAUAGCAGCUCCUGCUGCAUGGUGGGGGUUGGAAAGUUUCGGCGGUUGGGGAUGGACUCGCGGCUUAUCAGCUUGUUGGUGGGGUAGUGGCUUACCAAGGCUUUGACGGGUAGCCGGCCUGAGAGGGUGACCGGCCACCUUGGGACUGAGAUACGGCCCAGACUCCUACGGGAGGCAGCAGUGGGGAAUAUUGCACAAUGGGCGGAAGCCUGAUGCAGCAACGCCGCGUGCGGGAUGACGGCCUUCGGGUUGUAAACCGCUUUCGCCUGUGACGAAGCGUGAGUGACGGUAAUGGGUAAAGAAGCACCGGCUAACUACGUG